rnacentral:rRNA from 1 species
UACAGAGGGUGCAAGCGUUAAUCGGAAUUACUGGGCGUAAAGCGUGCGCAGGCGGUUUUGUAAGCCAGAUGUGAAAGCCCCGGGCUUAACCUGGGAAUGGCAUUUGGGACUGCAAGGCUUGAGUGCGGCAGAGGAGACUGGAAUUCCUGGUGUAAGCAGUGAAAUGCGUAGAUAUCAGGAGGAAUACCGAUGGCGAAGGCAGGUCUCUGGGCUGACACUGACGCUCAUGCACGAAAGCGUGGGGAGCAAACAGG